rnacentral:rRNA from 1 species
UUGGCUUUACCCGAAGCGGUGCGCUAACCCGCAAGGGAGGCAGCCGGCCACGGUAGGGUCAGCGACUGGGGUGAAGUCGUAACAAGGUAGCCGUAGGUGAACCUGCAGAAGGAUCA